GAUUCUUGAGAAUAGGGACAAAACAGGUCCCAUGGAUAAAGUACAAAAUUUGAAUAAAAUAUACACCAAAUAUAUAUUUUUUAAAUAUCUGACUAAACUAACCUGGGUCAUCUGAGCACAACAAUGUAUGUUUUCCUGGUGUUUGCUGAAUAUUUUUCUAUUUUAAACAUUGUAGUAGGUGAAUGGUGUCUGUAAAAGCCCUUGUCCUGGUGUAGAACUCAAUACAUUAUCAUAGUUUAAAAGAACUAAAAUAAUUAUAUUUAGUUGUCAUAAUAUAUUAUUUUAUAAGUAUUCAAACAACUAACUUCAUAACUAUCAAUGAAUGCAAUUAAAAGUCAUUUAAUGUAUUUUCAAAUUCAAUUGAAAUUGUGUCCUCAGUUUUUGUCAACACCGUCAGACAUAGAAAGAAUGUGAAAAAAAUCAGGCAUUAUUGAAGGGCACCAGAAAUUCUGAGGACCCCAUGACCACUUCCUUUCUCUUCCUGUGCUUGGGGGGAUAAGCAGCUCUGGCUACAAUGGCCAGAGAAAAGCUGUCAGUGGAGGAGCGCAAGAGAAGGAACAGGGAGUAUCAGAAAAGAAGGAGAGAAAAAAUAAAUAGCCAGCCUGAGCUGAAGGAAGAGUUUUUAAGAAAGGAAAGGAAAAGAUGGAGACAGAGAGUGGAAGAGGGAAAAAUAAAACAUAUCAAUAAUCUGGGUGAAAGAGAUAAGAGACGUAAGAGAAGACUUUGGAAGCAAAAACAAAAGGAGGCAAGA